GGGUCAGUAGGUUGGUCGUGCCACCGGUACGUACUGGUCUCACUGACUCCUCCUUCCUGAAGAACCGUAAUGCCAUUAAUUUGGUGUUGCGGGGAAACAGGACUGUUACUUUGAAAAAAUUAGAGUGUUUAAAGCAAGCUAACGCUUGAAUACAUUAGCAUGGAAUAAUGAAAUAGGACGAUCGAUCCUAUUUUGUUGGCUUCUAGGAUUGACGUA
rnacentral:rRNA from 1 species